rnacentral:rRNA from 1 species
CUUGCUUGGGGUACUCGAGUGGCGAACGGGUGAGUAAUACGUGGGUAACCUGCCCUCUUCUUUGGGAUAAGCCCCGGAAACGGGGUCUAAUACCGGAUAUUCUGCUUCUGCCGCAUGGUGGGGGUUGGAAAGGUUUUUCGGUGGGGGAUGGGCCCGCGGCCUAUCAGCUUGUUGGNGGGGUGAUGGCCUACCAAGGCUUCGACGGGUAGCCGGCCUGAGAGGGUGACCGGCCACAUUGGGACUGAGAUACGGCCCAGACUCCUACGGGAGGCAGCAGC